UACGGAGGAUGCGAGCGUUAUCCGGAUUUAUUGGGUUUAAAGGGUGCGUAGGCGGAUUUGUAAGUCAGCGGUGAAAUCUCCAGGCUCAACCUGGAACCUGCCGUUGAAACUGCGGAUCUUGAGUAUGGAUGAAGUAGGCGGAAUUCGUUGUGUAGCGGUGAAAUGCUUAGAUAUAACGAGGAACUCCAAUUGCGUAGGCAGCUUACUAAACCAUAACUGACGCUCAGGCACGAAAGCGUGGGUAUCAAACAGG
rnacentral:rRNA from 1 species